rnacentral:rRNA from 1 species
AUUGAACGCUGGCGGCAUGCUUUACACAUGCAAGUCGCACGGCAGCACGGGAGCAAUCCUGGUUGCGCGUGGCGAACGGGUGAGUAAUGUAUCGGAACGUGCCCAGUCGUGGGGGAUAACGUAUCGAAAUCUACGCCAAUACCGCAUACGAGCUAUGGAUGCAAGCGGGGGAUCGCAAGACCUCGCGCGAUUAGCGCGGCCGAUAUCAGAUUAGGGAGUUGGUGGGGUAAAGGCCCACCAAGCCUGCGAUCUGUAGCUGGUCUGAGAGGACGACCAGCCACACUGGAACUGAGACACGGCCCAGACUCCUACGGGAGGCAGCAGUGGGGAAUUUUGGACAAUGGGCGCAAGCCUGAUCCAGCAAUGCCGCGUGCAGGAUGAAGGCCUUCGGGUUGUAAACUGCCUUUGUACGGAACGAAACGGCUUUUUCUAAUACAGAGAGCUAAUGACGGUACCGUAAGAAUAAGCACCGGCUAACUACGUGCCAGCCGCCGCAGUAACAC